rnacentral:lncRNA from 1 species
GGGUCAUUACUCCCGCGGCCCACUGGGGCGGGAACUGACUGGGUACACGCAGCUUGUUGGGAAGUGGUGGGGUUCUGUCUCGAGGACCCGCCCACCUCAGCCAAACCUUUUCACCGCCUGUUCCUGAGCACUGGCCCUAACCCUAAUCGCCCCUCCUCCGCUGCAUGUUAUAAGUAGGUAAACUGAGGCAUGGGGCCACACCAUUGGUUCUUGGGACGUCCCGGCUCCCAGCUGAUGGUGUAGUUGGCACUGACCAUUUUAAAUGGUUUUCACUUUCAUUGUCAAGUACCAGAACUCUGCCCCAACAGAUAGAGAUAUGCGUUAAACACGCAGCUCUGGGUCCCCAUGGGAAAUGGGGAGGGUUUGAACACGUGUCCAGGAGAGGACUCAAGCAGAGCACAGAGAAGGCAGUAUUUUGGAAGAGAAUUUUAAUUUGUUAUUUAAAAAGACACAAAUUAUGCUUUGAAACUCAGCAAAGAAGGGAAAUCCACUGAGAACAGUCUGUUAAGGAUCUCUGUUGCCGUAUUGAUUUUCUGUCUAGAGGACCUGUCCAUUGAUGGCUGCUCCAAUGAUGCAGGCUAGGAUUGAAUUGGAGCUACAGCUGCUGGCCUAUGCCACAGCUACUGCAAUGCCAGAUCUGAGCUGUGUCUGUGACUUACACCGGCAGCUCACAGCAACACUGGAUCCUUAACCCACUCAGCAAGGCCAGGGAUGGAACCUGAGUCCUCAUGGAUACUAGCUGGGUUUGUUACCACUAAGCUACAGUGGGAACUCCUUAAGACAGCAAAUCUUAAUAUUUAAAUCAUUCUGUAAGCCUGUGUCUAUUGCAUAUUAUGUGUAUAGCCCCCGUGGGUACUCUGAGCCCUGUUGAAAUGAGUCAGCUUUGGAUCUAGUCCUUGACUUAAUCCUUAAGUGUAGUGGAUGGAUAAGAUACCCACGUUUCUAAAUUGUGAAGUAGAUAGUAGGUGGUACCUUCAGUGAACCAGAGAUGGACUUGAUGCCAGAAUUGAGAGGAAGCACUGAAUGCUUCUAGCUAAGAGGAUCAAGUAGUUAUCAGGGAAGUUCUAGUUCUGGGGCUCAGAAAAAGAGAAGCAUUGUCUACAUAUAGGAAGUAGGGAAGAUAUUCCUGAUGGAGGAAAUAGCAUGAGCCAAAGAGCAGGGUAUGAAUGUGUUCUUCACUGUUUCCUUGUUUAUUGACCUUAGGCUCCCACUUAGGGUGUUUACAUGUUGUUGCCCUAGUGCCAAUUCAUGGGACCUCUGCUCUCUUCCUCUAAAUAGCACAACUUUUAUUCUGAGAUUUUGUGCUCUGAUUUGAGGGGAUUCAAAUGAUCUUUCUUUCUUUAAAAUUAUCCAGAUAAUGAUAGUUUUGUUUUCAUGCCCUGAUUGGUCAAAUAUGAAUCCAAUGACCCAGACUACUGUCUGUGUUUUUAAUAUAGUUUUUCUGGAGUAUAAGGGCAGAAAUCUAAAAACAAUGAGUCUGGCAAAUAUCUAUUAAAGAAAGAAGGGGAAUGGCAAUAAAUAUUCAUAAAGUGCUUACCAUUUGGCAGAACCAUGACAAGCCUUUUAUGGUUGUUGAUUGACAAUAAUCUGAAGAAGUUAUAGAUCAAAAUAGUAUCCUCACUUCAGAUGAAAGAACCGAGGCUUAAAGAUAAAGUAACCUCUAGGGGUCAUGCACGUGGUAAAAUCAUGGAGCUAGGGAAAGACCCAACAGUCUGAUCCAAGAACCUUUCCCACAUGCUGUGUGCCUCCACAUUGGAAGUCCUAGGUCAGCCUUGAAUGAAAUUUUUUUUCAGGGACUUCCCGUCAUGGCUCAGUGGAAACUAAUGUGACUAGAAUCCAUGAGAAUGCAGGUUCUAUCCCUGGCCUCGCUCAGGGGGUCAAGGAUCUGGCAUUGCAGUGAGCUGUGGUGUAGUUCGCAGACUUGGCUCAGAUCUGGCAUUGCUGUGGCUAUGGUUUAGGCCGGCAGCUGCAGCUCUGAUUUGACCCCUAGCCUUGAAACCUCCAUAUGCUGCAGAUGUGGCCCUUAAAAAAAAAAAAAAAAAA